UAUUGAGCUCUGUGGAGGCUGGAGGCUGUGGGAGUGACUGCUCCUUAUUGGACUCCACCCCCUUAGGAGGGAGAGGGUUGUCAAAAUAUUUAAGCAUCUAACACAGAUAUUAGGUUGUGACCUUGAGGAGCUGAGCAGAGAGACAGCGUGAACGUAAUAGAGAAACAAGGAGGCUGUGACAUGGCUGGGAAACCCAAGCUUCACUACAUGAAUGGACGACUUCGAAUGGAGCCCAUCCGGUGGCUCCUGGCUGCAGCUGGAGUCGAGGUGGAAGUGCAAUUUCAAUAGUGUUGAAAACGAACUUCUGAGGACUUGGAAUGCCAUUCCAGAAAAUUUUUUCUGUUUAAAAAAACUUUGCAACAGCAUUACUCUCCAUGUU